UGGUCUUCGUUUUGACAACACGACUACGCUCACUAACAGUUUCAAGUACGCUCACAUGACGCUCAGUGCUGCUAUCAGCGUACUUGUAUUAAUUAGUAGAGGUCAGUGAAGUGUUUGAAUAUGCACAGGUACAGACAGACCUUGCACUGUGACGAAAUGAGGUCCUCAUUUUAUUACGGAACCCUAAAAACGUUAUUACCAUGGAAAGGUUUCGAUUGCAAUUUUUAUGAAAAAGAGGGUAUUUUUAGGUUUCACAAUUAACUAUGCAUUGUUAUUGUACAUCAUUUAUUAAAAUCGUUUUACUCCAAUUCACGUACAGUACCAUUUAUACAAAUAUAAUUCAAGAAUUAUUUUAAUAUAGCCGCAAUUAAACACGUAAAAACUUUCUUGAGGUAUACAAUUCAACCAGGAAUUGUUUACAAAGAAUAUUAUAACCCAGCGGUCGCCUCGAAUAGAAACUACACAAAAGCAAACGAAAAAUUAAAAUUUCAUUAGCAAUUUUCACUGGAAAAAAUUGCAUUACUUCUAAACUGUAUAUGUUAUUCUGGCUAAAAUUUGCUGUAAAUUAUGCUGAUAACUAUUAUCAAAUCAUAGUUUUGUCGGUUACAAGAUUUUAUCGAGUAAACUGCCCAAAACUGCUUACAUCGUUACUGGUAAUAUAAGAAUUUUAGCGGGUAAAGUAUGAAA